rnacentral:misc_RNA from 1 species
CCAGAGUGCCAUAGGCUCUCCAACCCACUGUGAACAUACCCAUCGUUCCCUCGGCGGGCUCAGCGCGCGCUGCCUCCGGGCUCCGGGCGUCCGCCGGGGACAACCAAACCCUGAAUUUAUUUGUGAUUCUCUGAGGGGCGAGAGCCCGAAAACAAAUAAAUCA